UGGGGAAUUUUGGACAAUGGGCGCAAGCCUGAUCCAGCAAUGCCGCGUGAGUGAAGAAGGCCUUCGGGUUGUAAAGCUCUUUUGUCAGGGAAGAAACGACAUCCUCUAAUACAGGGUGUUAAUGACGGUACCUGAAGAAUAAGCACCGGCUAACUACGUGCCAGCAGCCGCGGUAAUACGUAGGGUGCAAGCGUUAAUCGGAAUUACUGGGCGUAAAGCGUGCGCAGGCGGUUUUGUAAGACUGACGUGAAAUCCCCGGGCUCAACCUGGGAAUGGCGUUGGUGACUGCAAGGCUAGAGUUUGGCAGAGGGGGGUAGAAUUCCACGUGUAGCAGUGAAAUGCGUAGAUAUGUGGAGGAACACCGAUGGCGAAGGCAGCCCCCUGGGUCAAAACUGACGCUCAUGCACGAAAGCGUGGGGAGCAAACAG
rnacentral:rRNA from 1 species